UUAGCUUGCUUUUGAAGAUCAGCGGCGGACGGGUGAGUAACACGUGGGCAACCUGCCUGUAAGACUGGGAUAACUUCGGGAAACCGGAGCUAAUACCGGAUAAUCCUUUCCCUCACAUGAGGGAAAGCUGAAAGACGGUUUCGGCUGUCACUUACAGAUGGGCCCGCGGCGCAUUAGCUAGUUGGUGAGGUAACGGCUCACCAAGGCAACGAUGCGUAGCCGACCUGAGAGGGUGAUCGGCCACACUGGGACUGAGACACGGCCCAGACUCCUACGGGAGGCAGCAGUAGGGAAUCUUCCGCAAUGGACGAAAGUCUGACGGAGCAACGCCGCGUGAACGAUGAAGGCCUUCGGGUCGUAAAGUUCUGUUGUCAGGGAAGAACAAGUACCGGAGUAACUGCCGGUACCUUGACGGUACCUGACCAGAAAGCCACGGCUAACUACGUGCCAGCAGCCGCGGUAAUACGUAGGUGGCAAGCGUUGUCCGGAAUUAUUGGGCGUAAAGCGCGCGCAGGCGGUUCCUUAAGUCUGAUGUGAAAGCCCCCGGCUCAACCGGGGAGGGUCAUUGGAAACUGGGGA
rnacentral:rRNA from 1 species